UUGGAGGGCAAGUCUGGUGCCAGCAGCCGCGGUAAUUCCAGCUCCAAUAGCGUAUAUUAAAGUUGUUGCAGUUAAAAAGCUCGUAGUUGAAUUUCGGGAUCAAUGGGUUGGUCAUGCCCUCGGUAUGUACUGAUUUCAUUGGUUCUCACCUUCUAAGGAACCAUGAUGUCAUUUAUUUGAUGUUGUGGGAAAUUAGGACUGUUACCUUGAAAAAUUAGAGUGUUUAAAGCAGGCUAACGCUUGAAUACAUUAGCAUGGAAUAAUGAAAUAGGACAUCCGAUUCUAUUUUGUUGGUUUCUAGGAUCGAUGUAAUGAUUAAUAGGGAUAGUUGGGGGCAUUAGUAUUCAAUUGUCAGAGGUGAAAUUCUUGGAUUUAUUGAAGACUAACUACUGCGAAAGCAUUUGCCAAGGAUGUUUUCAUUAAUCAAGAACGAAAUUAGGGGAUCGAAGACGACCAGAUACCGUCGUAGUCUUAACCAUAAACUAUGCCGACUAGGGAUCGGAUGAUGCUUAUUUUUAAUGUACUC
rnacentral:rRNA from 1 species